rnacentral:rRNA from 1 species
AUACGGAGGGUCCGAGCGUUAUCCGGAUUUAUUGGGUUUAAAGGGUGCGUAGGCGGCUUUGUAAGUCAGCGGUGAAAUUUUGCAGCUUAACUGUAAAAGCGCCGUUGAUACUGUGGAGCUAGGAUUUGGUUGCUGUGGGCGGAAUGUGUGGUGUAGCGGUGAAAUGCAUAGAGAUCACACAGAAUAUCGAUUGCGAAGGCAGCUCACAAAGCCAAUAUUGACGCUGAGGCACGAAAGUGUGGGGAUC